UACGAUAGGUGCCUGUCUCUUAGGAGAGAGGAUAAUAGGAAAAUGGGUGUAAGUCCCAUACGGUCCCGCCGCUGUGUUGGAGGAGCUGUAUUCCAUAUGUCACUGUUUUUACGGGAAGACGGAAUAUUGCGAUGAUGCCAGAGUCAGAAGACCUGCCUUUUGUAA
rnacentral:ncRNA from 1 species